GUCAACCUCCAAUAAGACAACUGUUAUUCUCUGUUAGGCAACAUUUUAUCUCUAUAUGAAUGUUAAUGUCAAAGGUCAGAAACUUGAGGAGUUCCUGUUGUGGCUCAAUGGUUAACAAAUCUGACUAGGAACCAUGAGGUUGCGGGUUCGAUCCCCGGCCUUGCUCAGUGGGUUAAGGAUCCGCUGUUGCCGUGAGCUGUAGUGUAGGUCGCAGACAUGGCUCAGAUCCCUCGUUGCUGUGGCUGUGGUGUAGGCGGGUGGCUACAGCUCCGAUUGGACCCGUAGCCUGGGAAACUCCAUGUGCCGAGGGAGUAGCCCAAGAAAUGGCAAAAAAGACCAAAAAAAAAAAGUCAGAAACUUGAGAGUGGGCCCUCCUGUAUGUUUCAUUCAGGCUAUAGGCAACAUUUUUUUUUACGACUUUUACAAAAGGUGCAGAGCCAGCACCAUGAAGCACAGGCCACAGAGUACAAGGGUUAGAGCUAAAGGCAUGGAUCCAAUAUGGAGCCAGGUUUGCGAUUCUCUGUUUCAGGAGGUCAAAAUGCAUAAGAAAAAGAAAAGGCUCGCUUUGGCAGAAAAUUUCAGAAAACUGCUUCUAUGCUUGAGGAAAUAACAAAGGAGCUUUUGAUCAAAAUGACAGAAUGGAAAGGACUGGAGAGACCCAGGACUUAUAGGGUAUGCAGUCGCUGGAAGACUCCUCAUUACCUCCCUUUGGGGAGAGGCUGAGUGCAUGUUACAAAGCUGUGAACACUAUUUGAAAUCGAUAAAUGGGCAAGAGCACAGGCACACAGCACCACCAGAGGAGUGUGAACAUGGCCAACUGCUUGUGUGUGUCCCUCUUUGCUGAGAGAAUCCCUGCUGGUUCAGGUGCCCACCCUCCUCCACACAACCAUACAUUCCAAACAAGCUGAACCCAUCUCUGGGCUCUGUAUACCUACCGGUCCAAGGUCAUCAGGGAAUAGGAUUGCCCUGGGGGACAUAAAGAAGUGUCCAUGCAGCCUUGCUUGCCACAGGCAGCCAUCUUGCGACUAUGAGGAAAACAAGCUUGUAGAUGAGGCCAGUAGACAGCAGGAGACAGGCAGAAAGACCCUGGGAUCGUGAUGACACCAUUGAGCCCAUCCUGUUUCUGAACUUUCUGUUGUUUAGGUGUUCGUGCCAGUUGAAGUCAUGGUUUCUUAGCUCAAAUACUGUGGGGACUUUUUGCUUUUUUUUUUUUUUUUUUUUUUUUUCUUUUCUUUUCUAUAUGCUUUUAUGUUGCUUGCAUUACUUUUACAUCUAGUGGUCUUUCUGUUUGUAAUUAGGGGGAAAAAAGCUGUUUAUAUUUUAACUUUUCUUUUUCUUUCUUUCUUUUUUUUUUUUUUUUUUUUUUUUUUUUUUUUUUUUUUUUUGCUUUUUAGGGCCACAUCCCUGGCAUAGGGAGGUUCCCAGGCUGGGGGUUGAACUGGAGACUGGAGCUACGGCUGCCAGCCUACGCCACAGCCGCAGCAACACAGGAUCUAGGGCAGAAGAUCUAAAUAGACAUUUGUCCAAAGAAGACAUACACAUGGUCAAAAGGCACAUGAAAAGAUGCUCCACAUCACUGAUUAUUAGAAAAACACAAAUUAAAACUACAGUAAGAUAUCACGUGGUCAAAAUGGCCAUCAUCAAAAAGUCUGCAAAUAAUAAAUGCUGGAGAGGGUGCAGAGAAAAGGGAACCCUCCUGCACUACUGGUGGGAAUGUAAACUUCAAACUAUGUAGAAAGCAAUGAAAAAGAGCCUAUCAAAACCUAUGGGAUGCAAUAAAACUUGCUCUUAAAAGGCGUCUUUAUUAAAGAAUAAAGAUUAGGAAAAAAAGAACGUUUUAUUUAUUUAUUAUUUAUUUAUUUUUUGUCUUUCCUGGGCCGCACCAUCGGCAUAUGGAGGUUCCCAGGCUAGGGAUCUAAUCAGAGUUGUAGCUGCCAGCCUGUGCCAGAGCCACAGCAACUUGGGAUCCGAGCCGCCUCUGUGACCUACACCACAGCUCAUGGCAACACCGGAUCCUUAACCCACUGAGAGAGCCCAGGGAUCAAACCCGCAACCUCAUGGUUCCUAGUCGGAUUCGAUAACCACUGAGCCACCAUGGGAACUCUGAUUUAUUUAUUUAUUUUUGCCAUACCCACGGCAUGUGAAAGUUUCCAAGCCAGGGACAAAACCCGUGCCACAGUAGUGACCCAAGCUGCUGCAGUGACAACACCAGAUCCUUGAUCCUCUGUGCCACAAGAGAACUCCAAGAAGAUAACUUAAUAGUCAUCUUAAGAAACUAACAAAAUAAACCAAAAUAAAAGUAAGAAGGAGAAAGAGGUAAGAAAUAAAGCAAUUCCUCAAAUAAAAUAGAUACAUUACUUAAGGAAAAGACAGAUGACAAAAAUGUACACCUUCAGAAAGGAGAGAGGAAAAAAAAAAGAGAGAGGAACAUAAACACAGAUAAUGAAGAGGUUAAAAGAAUACUGAAUAUUGUAUGCAACUAACUUAACAAAUGAGUUAGGAUUUUUUUCCUGGUUACACUAAGACUGUCCUAAGAAAAUAGAAAACUUGAAGGGUUGAAAUGGUAAAGAAAGGAGCAGAAUGAGACUGACUCAGAGGAAAUGUAACCUUUACAGAACAGACAAUCCAACAGUAUUUAAGCAAGCAAAGACAAUUUCAAAAGAUGAAAAGCCCCUUCAUUUAAUAAACCAGUAUAACUCUAAUACCAAAUUCUGAUUUUUAAAAAAUAUAAAAAAGGAGCGACCAUCUUAUGUAUAAAAAUAGACAUAAAAAUUCUAUUAAAUAGUCAACAGAAUCCAGAAAUAUGUCAGACAAGAUGAGUGAAGACUUACCUAGGAAGGCAAGGACAUUUCAGUAUAAAAAGGUCUAUCAGACAUUUGUCAAGAUAUGCUGAAAAGGCUUAUAAAAAAAAUCACAACCUUUCCUAAGAAAGCCUCUACGUAAAAUGGAAAAAAGAAAUAAUUUAUAUAUGAUGAAGACCAUUGAUCAUUAUUCUAAAUAAAGAAAUGCAGAGUUCCCCGGCGAGCGUGCUGAGAAGCGGAUGGUGGCCUUCUGUCCCGGGGGCCAGCAGGCCCUCUGGCCUCGGGCCGGCGAGUGAACCGGGGACCCCGGGACAGGCCUGGGCUGUGUCCUGCAGAGCCCUGGCUGCCCACUGGGCGGGCCCAGGCCUUGGAGUAGCAGCGAACCUCUCUCCCACCCCCACCUUCCGGAUCAAAGGGCGGCAGACCCCGCGAGCCGGGACCCUGCCUACCGCCGGGUCUCGUGGCCCAACGCAGCUGGGCUUAGGCGAAGCCCCGGUCAAGCCGUCCAGACGCGGCGUCUUUGGGCAUCUGGCCGAGCAGGGCGAGAAGAAUGGCAGCCAGUGGAAUGCGCAGAGAGCUGUUAGUUUCAAUGGCCCGAGAAGGCUGGUCUGUGAGGACGCCAGCUUGGCCACCCUUGGGCCCUGGAGCUGCGCGGAUCCGGACCUGGGGUGAUGGCUCUGUCCCAGGUGGACGAGAUCUCACCUCGUCCAGACAACGAUGGACAGAGAGGCCUUAAGGGGCCCGUAAGGCGAGCGGAACCCCCAUCAGCAACGGGGGGAACACUGGCGGGCUGUCGGGCGGUUGGCUGUCGUUCUACCAAGACCUCGAAGCUAGAACUGGGUAGCACAUGCGGCCAAGAGCAAAUGCCCACCACCCUUUGGGAAGAUUUACUGUCUGUUUAUAGAAGGGCUGUGUAUGUAAUAUGAGAAAGUUGCUCUCAGCUUUCCCCCCGUUUCAAAAGGAAACUUUUCACUACAUCUAGGCCUUCUAGAUAUAAAGAGGUUGCAGACGUAUGAUAGAGUUAGAAAAUCACAUCUUGUUAAUGCCCUUUUUUUUUUUUUUUUUUUUUUUUUAAAUCAUAGAAAAGGAAUGUCUCCUGGAAAUGACUUUUUGAGAUGAAAUUGUUUGACCACCUCUGGAAGCAACAAUCAGGAGCAACAGAAAUCCAUGUUUGUUCAGUGGGUUAGAGGACAUGGAGUGGAAGACUUUGAGGAGGAGAUUCUGUGCUAGACUGGUCUUGCUUAGAAGACAUUUCCAGAUUAUAUCCAUUGUUUUGUAUGUGCAUUUUAUUUCUCACUGCUAUAUAUAUAGUUGACAAUAAGUACUUUUUAGAAAUAUCUAGGCUUUGUACAGAGUUCGCGUCGUGGCUCAGUGGUUAACGAAUAUGAUUAGAAACCCUGAGUUUGCGGGUUCGAUCCCUGGACUUGCUCAGUGGGUUACAGAUCCAGCGUUGCCGUGAGCUGUGGUGUAGAUUGAAGACGCGGCUCGGAUCCCACGUUGCUGUGACUCUAGUGUGGGUUGGCGGCUAUAGCUCCGAUUCGACCCCUAGCCUGGGAACCUCCAUAUGCUUCCGGGGGAUCAGCCCUAGAAAAGGCAAAAAGACCAAAAAAAAAAA
rnacentral:lncRNA from 1 species